UCUCCGUAGGUGAACCUGCGGAAGGAUCAUUAUUGUGUAACCGAGGAUCCAGGGCUGUCGAUCACACGAAAGGUCGUGGAUGCCAGAGUGCCCUCACACACAACAAUCUCACCCCUAUGUGCACCACCUCGUUGGUCCCCCUUUAGCUUGAUCGGAGAAUGGCUUACGGUUUCACACAAACUUUGUAUGCAGUGUAGAAUAUAUUUUUUGUGUUUGCGAUCGCGCAAUCAAAACAACUUUCAACAACGGAUCUCUUGGUUCUA
rnacentral:misc_RNA from 1 species